rnacentral:rRNA from 1 species
GACGAACGCUGGCGGCGUGCCUAAUACAUGCAAGUUGAGCGCUGAAGGUUGGUACUUGUACCAACUGGAUGAGCAGCGAACGGGUGAGUAACGCGUGGGGAAUCUGCCUUUGAGCGGGGGACAACAUUUGGAAACGAAUGCUAAUACCGCAUAAAAACUUUAAACACAAGUUUUAAGAUUGAAAGAUGCAAUUGCAUCACUCAAAGAUGAUCCCGCGUUGUAUUAGCUAGUUGGUGAGGUAAAGGCUCACCAAGGCGAUGAUACAUAGCCGACCUGAGAGGGUGAUCGGCCACAUUGGGACUGAGACACGGCCCAAACUCCUACGGGGGGCAGCAGUAGGGAAUCUUCGGCAAUGGACGCAAGUCUGACCGAGCGACGCCGCGUGAGUGUAGAAGGUUUUCGGAUCGUAAAACUCUGUUGGUAGAGAAGAACGUUGGUGAGAGUGGAAAGCUCAUCAAGUGACGGUAACUACCCAGAAAGGGACGGCUAACUACGUG